UGCUCCCGUGGUCUAGUUGGUUAGGACGUUGGUCUUAUGAACCGAAUAUCGCGGGUUCGAACCCCGCCGGGAGCAU
rnacentral:tRNA from 2 species